UAGCUCAGUGGUAGAGCGCCUGCCUAGCAUGUGUGAGGUCCUGGGUUCAAUCCCCAG
rnacentral:tRNA from 1 species